UACGUAGGGGGCAAGCGUUGUCCGGAUUUAUUGGGCGUAAAGAGCUCGUAGGCGGUUCAGUAAGUCAGGUGUGAAACCUCCAGGCUCAACCUGGAGACGCCACCUGAUACUGCUGUGGCUAGAGUCCGGUAGGGGAGCGUGGAAUUCCUGGUGUAGCGGUGAAAUGCGCAGAUAUCAGGAGGAACACCAGCGGCGAAGGCGGCGCUCUGGGCCGGAACUGACACUGAGGAGCGAAAGCGUGGGGAGCAAACAGG
rnacentral:rRNA from 1 species